AGCGAGUCGGGCAAUCGCGCGUGAAUCACGUGAGGAAAGUCCGGGCUUCAAAAGGCAAGAUGCCAGCUAACAGCUGGGCGGAGCGAUCCGACGGAUUAGUGCCACAGAAAAGAAAACUCCCUUUCUGGUAACAGAAAGAGAAAAGCUGAAACGGUGCGGUAAGAGCGCACCAGUGUCUUGGCAACAAGGCUGCUUGGUAAACCCCAUCUGAAGCAAGCGCAAAUAGGAACACUAAGCGGUUGCCUUUCCGCGUGUUCGGGUUGCGUGCUAGAGUUUUGCAGUGAUGCAGAAUCGAGAUAAAUGAUUGCCGAUCACAGAACCCGGCUUAUAGACUCGCUCU
rnacentral:RNase_P_RNA from 1 species